GGGACAGAAAGUUCGGCAUCGACGGGGCGGGAGGUGGGGGCGCUGCCCCGCGCCUUUGUUCAGCGGGGAGAGGACCUGCGGCGGAGCCGAGACGACCGCGCAGAUAGGCACGCACCCGGCAGCGCGGCCCCGCGCCCACGGGACGAGGAGGAGGAGGGAGGCAGAAGGUCCCCUUGCAGCCUCCCUCACUCUCUCCCUCCCUCCAAGGUCAAAACAUGGCUGUCCAAAGAAUGGGAUGCUUGCCAAAACAUCAAUCUGUGCUGAGUGCCAUACUCAUUAUCCUUCCAGUGGUGGAUUACAACUCGGGUCUCCUCAGGAGGUGACUGAUGUGGAACAAACUGUACGACUGUCUUUGCUGUUUGGAUACGUGUGUAAGUUAACGGGCUACUGGGAGAAGAUGAAGAGGCUUUUGCAGAAAAAUGAGGAUAUCAUGGGAAGUGCUGCUGCUAACCAUUUGGAUUAUAUUGCUGUCUGACACAGAAGUUCUGCAGAUUACGUAAGGAACUCUCCAGAUCUUUUUUGUUAUGUGAUUGCUGAAGCAUUUUCCUGGCACAGCAGUAAUGAUUGAUGAACACACUUCAGACUAGGAGCCACAGAGCAGUGAGGAUUUAUGCAUCUGGAAUAGAACUAUGAAUGGGAUUGCAGGAUUUACAUGGAGGACUCUGAAAUCCCUCACUUCCUGCUCCAGGAAGGGGCUGUCCGCAUAUACAGAGGUGCAGCACAGCCCCUGGCUCUCAAUACAACCUUCAGAUGAAGGAGGAAAAAUAACAGUUCCAGGCAUUGUAAAAGAGGACCUUCUUCUCUGAUGAGGACAUUGCUGAGUUUAACUAGCAGAAGGUAAGCAUGGCUAGAGGAUGGCAAAUCUGGGUGGGACAUAACCACGGAUAUUAUCAACACAGCCUCAAAGGUGUGUUUUCCUCUCUGUAGCUCCCAGCAGCCUUCCUGAGGUUGCUGAAUUAAACCAGACUAGCUGGCUGGAAAGAUGGACGUAUUUGGAAUAUUUUUGGUACACAUUCAUUUCUCCUCAUUCUGCCUUCCAAACAACGUGUCCUAUGGGCAGCAUGCUGUACUGUCAAAUAUUUUAAGCAUGGCCUCUUCCUACCUUGUUGCACCUGUUUAUCUACUCUGUUUGACCCCAGCUCCUUCAGAUGGCAGUCUCAGUGUAAUGACAGACUUGUACAGUUCCUUAUGCAAUCUGUGUGCCAAAGCCAACCACAGUUAUCCCCCCAGCUCCUGAUCUGGGCAGCAGUGUGAAAUCACUGCCAUGAGGUCACUGCACUGCUGUGCCCUUGGGUCCAGCUCCUAGCCACAUAUGGCUCACUGUCACAUACAUGUAUCACCGCUGACUGUGUCUUCACGUGGUGAUGCACUGAACAUGGAUUGCUGUUGUCUCCUCUCUAAUUGAAAGGAGAUCUUCCCAAUAUAUUUUGUUAGUGUGUGAUUUUUUGUUUUUUUAAAUUAUUCCUUUAUAAGCUUUUUUAAUUUAUUUUAUUCCUUUAUAAGCUUAUAUCCCUGCAUACAUCCUAGCAAAAAAGAAAUGGGCUGAUAAAGAUUUAGAUAGGCACUCUAAGAAUGAGGAUGACAUUCAAGCUCAAAAGAGAAAAAAAAAAAAUUCUGAAAGUCAACCCUGUUAUAUUUUCUGUUCUUUUCUUUCAACUUCUAAAAUGUCACUGCCAAGAGCAGUGACCACAGUGGUGAAUGAAGCUAUGGAAAAAGAGAACUGAAUCUCUGUUUGUGUUGUCGUUAUAAGAUCUUGUCCCCUCUGUUCUGAAAAUGUGACUCAGGGAAAUGUGUGCAUAGAAUUUCAGAAAUAAAUACCUGGUCUCUUUCUAGCAUGAAAAUACUUGGAAUGCGAAAAGAUUACCUUUAUGCAUAUGCUUUGUUUGUGAAAUGGAUUGGUGAAAUUUGGCAUGCUUCUUAAAGAGGCCUUUUGCCAGUCUUUCCCCAUAGUUUUAAGUCAUGCCUUUGCAUAAUGAUGUAAUCUACAGUGGGCAGGAAGAAUUCAGCAUAACUAUGAAUAAUGGCAGUAUUUGUGGUGAACUGGUCGUGACAUUCUCACUUGAGCAUUUCUCUUUGGGAACUACUUCUUCAAGUCAUGAGGCUUGCAGUAACGUCAAGAGAAAGAUCAGCACAAGAAUAGCCUGGGUGAGGGAGAAAGAGGACACUUGUUUUAGAGGGUCCACCACAGAAGGAAAGGAAAAGAGACUUGCUUGGAAUACUGACAUUUUUAGUCAUCUCUUUGUGACAUUCCCUCCACCACCCCCACAUAUUCUAUAUGUCUGCAGCCAUCUGCACAAAACUCACCGGAAUCCCAGUGAGGGGGAAAAACAACUUGUAAGAAACUAGGUGAGUAGAGAAGUAAAGGGGAAGCACUGAGCUGGUAAGAGCUUCUCAGCAGUAUUUAAGAGCAAACAAACGAACAACAAAGACAACCAUAAACAAAAAAAGCUGAAAAAAGAGUUUAUGCUUUUAAAUGUGCUGGAAUCAGACAUGCUACUCCAGAUAUAGAUUCUUCUGGGCAGAGGAAGUAGGGAAAUGUGUUAGUUCUUAGGACAGUGUUAAAGUAGGGACAGAAUGUAAACGGUGUCAUGUCAGAAUGAGCUACAUCCAUCAUGCCUCAUUGGUGUCCAUUGGUAUCUUUGAAGGUUAGGUGUAUAGAGAUAAGUUAUUUAUUAUGUAGUAGACAGAAAUAUGUGAAGAAAGCAGGCCUCCCAGUUGUAACUUAAAAAGGCAAAGAUGCUCCUAUGGGUAAAUACUUGCAGUCGUUACAAAUAGGAAUAACUUGGGCACUAGUUUUGAGUAAGAGCAGGUUUAAAGUAAUGUGGUAAUGCUGAUUAGAUGUGUAGAGUUUAAUUGCAUUCUGCAAAAAUAUGUUUACAGGAAGACAAGUUAAAUGGGAAAGGAAUAUCUGUGGUUCAGGACAGAAGAAUUAUUAGUGUUUCAGUGACUUUUGUAAACUUAAAAUCUGGGAUGUCAGGUGUUGAUUGAGAAUGUUACAAGUACUCAGGCUUAGUUUAAAUUCAGUCUCCCAAAAUUUGUUUAAAUAUGUGAGUAAGAAUUCCAAAUAUUGUGGUGGCAGAAGAGCUAACACUUAUUACAUUGUUCAUGUGUCAUUUACAGGACACUGGGAACAGUCAAAGAAGCAGAAAGUUAUACCAUUCUUCUCUAUUGUAAAAUAUUACUGAAAAAAUCAACAAGAGAAGCAGAAAACAUGAUUGACAAUUUUGAAAAAAGUGAUACAAAGAGAACAUUUGGCACUGUGUCCUUUGUGUUACUUAAGAGAUUCUUCCAAUGUACCAAAAAAUAACUCUGUCCUCAAAAAAGACAAAAGAAAACCGUGUCAAAUAUGGUACAUUUCUGACAGUGUGGUGAAUUUCUGCAGGUAUUUUUCAAACGUAAAAUGAAUUAUUCUAAACAACAGUAGCCUUAUUCAAGAUUUCACAAAGUUACACAAAGCAUAUUAAAAUGGUGUAUUUUGUUCUGAAGUCCAGUUGAUCCAUAGUUAAAAGGGUUGAAGCUAACCUUGUAACCUAGUGCAGCGAGGGUAUGUUCAAAAUUGUUAGUAGUAAUGAGCCUGAAAUGUGACCUAUAGUUUUCAAAACAGUUGGAAAAAGUAGUUUCACACAGUGAAUGAUCAAACUUCUUUAAAAUACAUUCUGCAUUUUAUCUGACUUGUGUAAGAAUUUGUAACCAGAGACUAUAGAUCAAUCACUCAUCCGAAGUAAGCAGGGAUGUUAACUUAGCAGAGGAAGGAAUAACCAGCUUUUUUUUUUUGUCUCAGUUGUGUGACAAAAGUAUAUGGAAGUUCCAGCUGAAAGUAAGGGCCUGUGUUGUUUGGUCGUGUAUAAAACUAGUGUACACUGCACAGCUCGGUGUAAGAAAAGAUUGCAUAGAGAGUGUAUGCAAUAAAGUAUCUGACAUGAGAAAGUUAUAUGAAGAAUUUUGUGAGGAAGGAGUAGGAAUAAUUAUAUAAAAUUUAUUUUGCUAUGAUUAAAAUCAUGCAGAUGAUAGCCUGAAUUCUUGUGAUUUUGCCUUUCAUUUGAGAAGGAGUGUGUGGGAAGUUUGAUUUUAAGCUGAAGUAACCUAAAUGAUCUGCAUUAUUUGGGAAUACUUUUAAUUUAAUGCCCUGUGAUGCAGUAGUUUAUGAGAAGAAUUUCACUCAAUCGUGACCCAGAAAUAUUAAGUGUUCCCUUAAUGAACAAUACCCAAUUCUUCACUGAAACCAUGAGGCAGUCUUUUCUUAGGCAGACAGUUGAGUUUUUCAGUAUAAUAUCUGUAACACUGCACAACAAUAUUUACAUACACAGAAUGGGCAAUUGAACACUUCAGACCAAUUCAUAGUUGUUGCAGUGGGCUUAACUUCUUUGAAAUGCAUUGAUGCCCCAGCCUACAAGAUGGCUCAAUAUGAUCUCUCAGCUUUUCAAAGCUAUGUUACUGAAAAUACUAUGGAGGCUGACUUGGAAAUUUGUUUCCUAAUUAUACUGUUCCUUUCCUGCUAAGGAUGUGGCUUCAAUCAGUUACUUACUUACUUGCCCUGGGUUUUCACUUGUUAAAAUCUUUCUUUUCUCAGUUAGUACCCAAAGCACAAAUCCGUGAUUGGCUUAUGCAGAAAGUGUGAGGUGAACAGUUCAUUCAAUUCCUUGCAUCUCCAAAAGAUGAAACAGCAGUAAGAAAACAAUUGUGAUGUCUCAUUUCAUUUAAUCUGCUUUUAUUGUGCAAGUGCUCAUGGUAUUAGAAUACCCUCACUAACGACUGCACUGUGGUUAUCAACUGAGCCUCACUGCAGGCGUAAGGUCCUCACAGCCACUUCACAGUGGCUCCCUACAGCAGUCCAGAUCCUUCCCCAUUUGGCAGAGGACUUUGGUACAUGUUCAAAGUUAGUUACUUGAUUGAAGAUUUCUGUUAAAGAGAUGUGAGAUCUUGUGCUUAAAGAUAGACAGAUAAAUAUGGUCCCGAAUCAGCAGCUGAUAUGUUACAUUUCUUAGAGGUUUCCAGAAAUCUUGAAUUUCCUGAAAUACUAUCUUUGCUGUUUUCCAAGCUGAGGAUAACCUACAGCUGAAAAACAAACUCAAAACACAUUACUGUAGAACAUGCUGAAAAGCCUCCUAAAGUCCCUCUUCCAGCCAGUACUAAGGCUUGUGUUCACUGGGACUGUUUACAUUUCAGUAGCCUUAAAUCAAUAAAUAAAAUGGCGACACCUGGUUUUCCGGAAAUCACAUAUAAAUAAAUAAAUAAAUACGUUGGUAACAUGAAUUAAUUCCUUGUAGAUGGAGAAAGAAGCAAUAAUUGAGUAACUGAGUCAUUAGACAGCUUCUGACUGUAAUAUUUCUCACCACUUCAGGUGGUAUUUUAUGACCAGCUGCCUGUGGUGAAGAAAAGAAAUCAGUUUUCGGAGAACCAAAAUCCCAGAUUUUUACCACGGAAUUAUAUGUAAGAAUGCAUGCCAGUUUCCAUAUACUUACUUUCUAAAGUGUAACACCCACUUACAUGCUUACUGUAAAACUCUGCUGAUAAAGUAUUACGGUAUUUAUUAGGAAGACAUCUUUACUCCAGUCCAGAGUGUUCAAAGCAGAAUCAAAACCAUUCUCUGAUUGGCUGUGAUUAAUUUAUUUGUGCACAUAACCACUCUGUUAAUUGUGAGAGUGAGUUUACUCACUAAGAGGUCUAACCUUAACCUUCCCUGUAACAGUAUACUAAACCUCCAGUCAUUAUUUUGUCUUUUGCAUUGUCUGAACUUCUUAUACUCCCACUGAAUAAAGCGCAAAGGUCCAGCUGGCAGCAGGGACUGUAGACUUGAGACCCAAAUAAUUCUUAAAUGCCUUUUGUGGUAAGGCAAAGCAGGAGUUGCAGAUACAGGGGCUGUCCCCAGUUCUCACUCCCAGCUUCCCUAAGACUUGAAGCCUCACACCUUACCACGUUUCAGAUACGCUACUUUUGCUUGGUGCAAUGCUGGUAAGACCAGAGGUGCGUGUUCUGGAACCAAUGAAUUCUAGAGUGCUGUGACAAACUCUGUUAUAAGAUUGGCCCCCCAAAUCCACAUCCUACCAGAAAUCCACAUCCUACCAGAAAUCCACAUCAAGUGCAGUGAGUUGUCCCCAAAUUCAAUAUAUUUCAGAUGAAGCAUUUUGUGUUCAGUGAUGCAAGCCCCUUUUGAUGAAAAUGAUCUGUAUCCAGCCCCAGACAUGAGUUGGGAGGCUGUGUCAGAAAACAUGUAAACUUUGGAAUAGUUUGGACCACAUGUUAACUUUGCCACUGAUCAGCUAUAAAUAAUCCUCUUCAGAACCUUAGAGUUGCAACAGAGCUUUUGAAAAGAUUGAACUUGGAUCGUGGUUUUAUGGCUAUCUCUGAAAUACUUUAUUGCUGUUUUAAGACACAGGAGAGUAAAUUAUGGUGCUGUAAAAACUUGCAGUGUGAAUGUUUUAUCAUCUACUUAUGUACAAAACAUAAAUAGUACCAUUUUGUUUUUUGGCUAUAUAUAUGUGUAUACAUGUGUAGACACAAAUGCACUAUAUAUAUGUAUAGUGCAGUUUAGAAAGCUGUGUAUUAUUAGAAAGGUUACUGUGAAUGUUUUGCUCUUUUUUUUUAUGUGUCAGUACAUUGUUUGCAUUAGUUGGUAGUGUGUAACUAUUUUCAGUCCAUUGCUGUAGGUUAGAGAAAAAAUGAGAAUGAGGAGAGGAGGGGGGAAUAAUGUGUAUGUGUUGUAUGUAUGUAGACAGCACUAGUGUGUAAAUAGCGUGUGUAACACUGUAAGGAUCGAAGAGAAAAAGCCUUUUGUUAGAUGAACUAAUGCAACAAAAAAUAUCUUUUGGAAGUGCAAGACCUUUCUCAGGUCUGAAACAAACCCUGCAGGGUUUGUGUGCAAAUUUAAUUAAAUGGUUUAUACUAUGUGUGAACAUGUACAUAGGUGCCUGUGCAAAUGCCGUUAUAUAGAUACAGAAACAUCUGAGGUUGACUGGUUUGUAUUCUUGCAUGUUCUCUUCUUUCAGAAUAGGAAUGGUCACAAAUGAAAAUAUUCAACAUUCCACUACUUUUUAAAAGCUAAUGUUAAAUGUCAUACGUCAAGAAAUAUGUUUCCGUGUUAAGGGGAUUAAAGUUAUGUUCCCUUUGAUAUGACUUCACCAGCAUUCAUCAGUAGCUUACGCUGGCCAUUAUCUCUUGGGCUCUGUAUCUGCUACUCCUUCAGAUUUUUCUCCGUCCUAUGUUGAGCUGACUCAUAGUCAUUUCCUUCCACUAUCUCACUGAGUGGCCACGGGCAGAAAAAUUGUUUUCAUCUGCUCCUUUUAGUUAACAUUCUCGUUCCAGUGGAUGCACUCAGAUAAAUUAUUUCAUAAGUUAUGACAUUUAUCUAUGAACUCUGUGUUAUCCUUCAGCCUCCAACCUUGUCAUCGGUGUCCUUUCCAGUCUCUGAGAAAGAUAUUUUAUACUGACUGGGAUGCUACUGAGGUGUUAAGCAUCAUUUUCCUUUUCUCCAGGCCUGGAAGGACUGAUGUGGGACAUGUGUAGCUGUACUGGUAUGAAAUAUAUGAUUUCUAGUGUUUCUAAGUGAUUACUGUUCAAAUUUCUUCUAGGUAGUAUCUUUACAUCACUACAUGAUGCAGAUGGAUCACUCUUUGCCAGCUGCCAAAUCAAAUAUUGCUGUACAGUCUCUACCUUCAGCAACAUCCUCAGUGUUCUGGUGGUGGGUCCCUUGAAAGGAUGGGGCAGAACAGACUUCAUGCCACCCCUGUACUUCAAGCUCUCUGCUCUGUAAGUACACUGGAUAAUCUUGUGGCUAUAAGAUGGCAUUUCCAAUUUAAGUAGAGUGUUCUGAAUUGAAAAAAGCUGGAAGUUUCUAGUGAUUUCAGUAGGAUGAAACUUACUAUCUGGCUAAAAUAUAGAGGAAAGGAACUUUACUACACAUGAAAGGAACUUUAAAGAUUUAUUAAUCUUUAUAAUGGACAGAAGCUUCCCUGAUUCUUUAAGAAAUCAGUAUUUUUCCUGUGGUAUAUCACAAGUGUACUAUAAGUGACAGGCAGCAUCUGAUAAAAUUCAUUAUUUUGCUGCUGCUUCUAAGAAGAAAGGGUGGAGAUGCUUUUGGGUGUUUUGAAAUAUGUUAUGUGUAGAGGUGUACGUUUUCCAGCUUUAAAAAGAUGUGACUGUGACCCAAUUGCACUUUAGCUGAAAUAAACAUUUUGGGGAGGAAUUUAGCUGAGUGGUUAUUUUUGGUCUGGCGGAGGGGAAGCCAACGGAGUGCCUGUUAUUACCCUGAUGCUGAUUACUGGAACUGACCAGCUUAAGGGCAAUUUGGUAACUUUGUUUAAAAACAAAAGUAGGUCCAGCUGUGAUUUAGAGAGGGAGAAGCUCUAAACCGCUUUUUUAUUUUCCUUUAAGAUAAAUAAUAAAAAACUUUCCUAGCUGAAAACAUUAUCUGAACCUCACAUGAUGUGGGAUUCAGGGAAUUAACAGGAUGAUUCAGGCACACAAUCUUAACACUCAUACCCAAUCUUGAGAAUUUUCCUUGAGGGAUAAAACUUCUUUCCUGCUUUUGGUCAAAAAACAAGCCAAACCCUAACACUGAGCUCUGGCAUACGCUGUAGUCCAGUAUAACCUCAGGAUGCAAGCAGUGUGACUUUAGCAGACGUUUGCAGCACUCCUCCCUGUCACUCCUUCCCUUUCCUCUCCUCUGCUCCAUAUGGAGACAUGUGCCAGCAGCUGGAAGCAGGGGCUGAAGGGCGGUUCAAAGUGUUCCUUUGUUAUUUUUUAUUAGGGAGUGUGACAGAGGGCACUGAGAGCUGCUGUUUGUAUUAGCUUGCAUCUGUGUUUGCAGACAGAGCAAGGGCGCUGGCUGAGCUCAGCCCCCGAGUAACAGAAAGUUCUAAUCUUGCUGCCCUUCUGCUCUCCUGAUGCAACUCCAGUUUGGUUUUUCUAUAAAGGGAAGAAAAAUUGUCACACGGGCUGCACUGAUGCAGCAGGAAUUGAGCAUGCUCUGAACAGGCAACAUUUCCAAAGUGGCCACAUAGACUCAGUUCAUGGUGGGUUUGUUUCAUGUUCCUUCCCUUGCCAUUUCUCCUUAAAAAUAAACAAAUGGACUCAAGCAAAAUAUAUCCUUUUACUUAUGCAAGAAAUAAAGGAAGUUAGUGAGACUUGGUGCCCCUCCAUACUGCUCUUAACUUCAAAUGCACACGUGCCCGUAUAUUUUCUUGCUUUUUUCCUCUUAGGAGUGCUUUCAUUGGUGGUCCUCCUGACAGUGUGGCUUAUAGAUUCCUCUGACAUAAUCUUUGACAUCUUUAAAUCUACAGUCUGAUUUUUUUUUUCUUUCCCUUUACCAUUCUUCCUUAAUACACAGCCACUUCUCUUCCCAUUCACUUGGUUCUUUCACUUGUUGAAUUGGUAAAAUCUUUUUACUUACUGGUCCCCAGAUGAAUCAAGUGAUGCCAAAUUACCUGGGGAUUUCUUGAUUAUUAUUGUUAUUAUUUUAAAAGUUCAUUUUAUUUGUGCCAUUAUUUUUUUCUGGUUUCCUGUUCUUUCUGGUUAAUGUCUGUGACCCAUCUUUUCUCUGUCUUAGUUCAUAGACUCUCUGUGGUCUUUUAAAAUUGACUUGACUUUAUUUGAUUGAUUGUUUCCAAUUUUCCUGCUGUUCUGAUCCUAUCUCACAGCUGCUCUUAGGAGGUAAUCUCUAACAUUCCCUCUCAAACAGAAUAACUUUACUAAAUAGUUUAGGAUUUGGCUAACACAGUUGUAGACAAGUAGAUCCAGAGCUUGCCUUAUCUGUCUUGUUUUAAGACAAAUCCAACCUGAUAGGAUGGUCAGACUGGCUGCCUGCAAUAUACUGCCUUUCACCUCAUUUCUGAUUUCCCUUUUGUUGAGCCAUAUGCUGCCAACAUCCUUGUCAUUUCUCUGUCUCCUCCCUUUCCUCCAGCUGAUGUUUUGGCACUAUUUAAAUCCAUGUCCAGUUGUGCUUUUAUUAAACACAGGGAUGGAAAUUCUGCCCAGUGGUUCCUUUUCAGUCUCCACCUCCUUUUGUUUUGUCUUAAAUGCAUUUAAGGGGAAGCAGGAGGAGAGAUGGAAAAGGAAGGGUUCAGUCUAGACUUUCAGAGCAGUUUCUCUUUCCCUAAAGAGCACAGCUCAUUUCCUUACAGAGUAGCAUGGCUGGGAAGUUGUGUAUUUCUUCUCAGCACUAACUUUCCUGAAAUUUGUUGAAUCAAAGCAUAGCUACUAAGCAUAAACACAAAUGUGUGAGUGUUCUCCUCUCUCCUGCUUCAGAGUAGAAGAAUGAGCAGAGUAAUGAGUGAAGGGGAGCAGCUACAGGGUGGAAACGUUGAAAGAAAAUAGAUAAAUAUCCAUAGACACACCUGCACUUAGGUGUUUCUGCACCGUGGGGCCUCACAGAGGUUGUUUUUUUGCCAGAAAUGAUUCAAGGACAGAAAACUGAGCAAUGUGGAAGUUGAUGAUUUGCCUGAGGGUUAUUUACAAGGUUUUGCCUUUGCAAAAAAAGUGUUACUUUAUGGCUGUAACUUUAACCCUUCAUACAUUGCACUUAGCCAAAGACUGGAGAGAUUCUUUUUUCUUCAAAGUGCAUCUACAGUUGCUGGUUUUGAAUAAAGGCCCAUUUAAUACUGGUUCAUCUACUCUUGCCAAGUUUCUGUGUUUGCUUUGAAUCAAAUUAAAUUGCAUUGUCAUAUUAAAAAUGAGUAGUGUAGUCUUCACCAAGCUGUUUUCCUCUGUGAUACUCUGUUUAAAUUUUUUGGUAAAUGAAGCUUGGUCUGGUUAGAAAGAAAAUGUUUAAAAAACAAACACAAAUACCCAAAAAACAAGUGAUGAGAUCAUAAUUUCUCUACUUCAUGGAGUUUCCACUUUAUUAAUGUAGCUGCUUCCUUAUGUGUUUGUUUACUUACGAGAUGAGGUUUCUUUUGUGUGAAGAUGUGGACAGGAAGAUAAGCUGAAAUCUGACGGUGUCCUUGGUUUAAGAUAACUCAUCCAUUCAGUUUGUAUUCUGCUUAGUGAAACAAAGCUACAUAAUGUUUGUUGUUCUGCCACCACAAGGUAAAAUACCACACUGCUCCUUGCCAUCACAGUGAUGUUUUUCCAAAUGAAAGAAAGUACCUGUCUUAAGAAGAGACUGUGUAUGGGCAGGCGUGCUGGUGAGGUGUGGCUACUACAUCCCCUUGAUCAUCGUUGCCUAUUCUUCCUAUUUUUUCUUCUUAACUUUGUUGCUUUGUGUGUUUUGGAUUCUGCUGCAUGUAGUAGGUGCUAAGGCUGUGUCUUGUAUAUUGGGUGAAAGUGGGAGGUUAAGGUGCUGCUUCCUAUGAGGGAGAAUGGAUGUGCAGCAAACAAAUGAUUUAGCAAAUGCUACUUUUGAAGGUGUGACCAGAGCAGUGCACUCUGACAAGGGCAGAAACUGCAACAGCAGGCAACAUUUUCAUCCAACUAGGCAAAGACAAGUGAGUAUCUCCUAUUUUUUUGUAAUUUUCAUCGUUUUAUAGAUAUCUACUCUAAUGGUACUGGGCUCGGCAAAGGGAGAUUUUGAGGCAUAAAUUAGGACUGCGAGUGUUUUUGCACAUGUUAUUGCUCAGUCUGGCAGGAAGCAGUCCCAAAGAAAAACCGGCUGUGUUCAAGGAAAACCAGAGUGGGAAACAGUGCUGUGCUAAAAGCUGAAUGUGGCAGUUCAGAAUACAUGGAGGCAUAGGUGGAAGUUAAAAGAAGAAAAAGCAGGAGGAAUAUCUAAUUUUGUGGUUCAUCAUCUGAUGGGAUUCCAGAGCCCUGGCUGUGUCUCAGGAUCUGUCUUGUAACUGCACAGCAAAAUUCUUGGAUUUGCAAAAUAAGAGUAAUAAGUGCUUGAAGUUAUUGGUUUAAAAUGUAAUAACUAAAGAUUGAGUUUUAUCAUUGCUGAUAAUAAUGUGGUUAUUCAUUUAUACUCAUUCUAAAUUUUAUGUCAGAAAAACAUUACUGUUUUUCUGUGUACAGUGUAUGAUGCAGUGUAGGAUGCAUACAUAUUUCUCUGUGUGUCUUGCUCAGAGGCAGACUGUAAAGAUUUAGAGUUCUUUGCUUUAUCCUGAUAUGUAACAUACACUGUAGCAGUAGAAUUCGUUCAGAUCAAUAUAUUUAAUACUUUCUUAGUAAAUGGUCAACAGAUAAACCACAUCAUUUGAAGAGGAAAUCAAAGUUUACUUUCUGGUUUGGCAGGUCUCUCAUUUUUUACAAAACAAGACAGAGUAGGCCAGAUUUAGUAUAGCAUCCACAUGGAUCUAAAGAUCUAUGCAUGCUUUAACUGAAGACGGUAGAAGAAAGCAGAUAAGAGCUACAUUUUUUACUUAUGAAGAAAAGUUGAGGGAGCUUGGCUUGUUUAGCUUGGAGAAGACAAUGCUCUGGGGAGACCUCAUUGUGGCCUUCUAGUACUUGAAGGGAGUGUAUAAACGGGAGAGGGAACGGCUGUUUAUGAGGGUGGAUAGUGAUAGGACAAGGGGGAAUGGUUUUAAACCGAGACAGGGGAGGUUUAGGUUAGAUAUUAGGAGGAAGGUUUUCACUCAGAGGGUGGGGAUGCACUGGAGCAGGUUGCCCAAGGAGGUUGUGGAUGCCCCAUCCCUGGAGGCAUUCAAGGCCAGGCUGGAUGUGGCUCUGGGCAGCCUGGUCUAGUGGUUGGCAGCCCUGCACAUAGCAGGGGAGUUGGAACUAGAUGAUCAUUGUGGUGCUUUUCAACCCAAGCCAUUCUAUGAUUCUAUGAUUCUAUAUGAUCUUGAUUACCAUAGUUGUAGCUGACAAUUUUACAGGAGGUACAUAAGAAUGUACCUUUGCAUCAGUUUCAGGUGUAUUUGUACUAGGAGCGGCAGUGCUCAGGCCUAUCUCUAGAUUACUAAUGUAUUAUUUGUAAAGUGUACCCUUUUCAGUUUUCCUGGCUAAAAUAAGAUAUAUUUUUAUUUAAAAAGUAAGUAUACGUUUGGCUAUGUAUAGAUUUGGAAAAAAAAUCUGAUAGCUUGCUUGCUUAGUGAACAGCCGUUGGAUGCAGUCUCUAAUCUCAGAGCUGGUUGCUGGUUUCACCUGCUUUCUCUCAGUAUUGCUGCUGUUCUCAAAGUUACUCAGGCAGGUAACUAUGAUGCUAAGUAGAACUGGGAAAUAUGCAUGUAAACAUUAUUUUUGCCUCACAGUUUUUUCUUUUGUGCAAAAAUGGUGAAUAAUCACCGUCACUAAACUGGUUGGAAGCAGAAAGAAUGACAUGUUGCACCAAGGACAGAGAAAUGAGAAAAAUCUUGGAGUUUUCUAAAUGUUUACAGGAACUUCCUGAGAUUUCAGGAAGUAGAUGAAGACUAACUGGGUUGUGUAUCACCUUGACUCUUGAUAACAUCACCUAAGUAUUCAAUUGGUGCUAUAGAAACAACUGUGAUGGAAGAACCGUAAUGCUUUUCAGAAAAUAGCUUUUUGAGAUGCAGCACUAUCCAUUCCUUGUCACAUGUGUAGCACUGCUAAAGCAGCUCAAAGUAAAUCCCUCUGUCACAACUGCCUAAAAUGGUUCAAGGCUGAGAAACAAAGGCAACUCUCCUUACCACAUCCCUAAAUUCUCCUUUUCUACUUUCCUACUCUACUGCCCUUCAUAUCAGGAGGAUUACUGGAUAUACUUCUGGGAAAUUAACAGAAUGUUUGUUUUGCUUCUUUUCAAAGUGUUUUCAUGGUUUUAGGUGAGUGUUUGACUUAUGUUCAUUGGCCCUUGCACAAGACUGUGAAAGCUAUUUCCUUUUCCCUUAAUUAAAGCAUAUAGAAUAUCAGAUUUUUCAGAAGUGAAUUUCCUCUCAGGAGAUAGGUGAGCAUAUGUAGUAGAAGUGGUUGUUUUUAUAGACUUGUGCAGUUGGUUCUUCUAAACUUUCCAGAUACUUUCUUAAGACAAACUACAGACAGAAGUACUGUCUGGUGGUUUGUUUGUUUGUUUGUUUGUUUUUACUUAAAUAUAGCGGUAGCAGGAACACCGUAUCAAAUGUUGACAUGGUGAAGGCAACGGACAAGGCAAGUUCUCUGUGUAACUUGAUUUGAGAUAGUGAAGCUCUACUAGCCCUCUGUUUGUUUGUUUGGUGUUUUUUUUUUUUUUUUCCUGGUAGUAUGAGGGCUGCUCCAAAAGUAAUGCCUCCUAUUUUAUCAUGCUGGCCCAUGAUGUCAGAGAUGGAUGUUGGUGGUAUGGCAGUAGAAGUAGAACCUGUCUAUCAGUAUCCUGUUACAUUUUGUGCCAUGGCAGCAGAGGGGCAGUCUGACAAAGUGACGUCUGACACGAAAGAGCGGGUGAAUGGAUGUUACUGAAUUUCUCUGUGCUGAAAAAAGUGGCACCCACUGACAUUCAUUUGACACUUGUUGAACAUUGAUGGAGGCCAAACAGUGGAUGUGAGCACAGCGAGACUGUGGGUGGUACAUUUCAGCAGUGGUGACAGUGACAGUGGAUCACCUCCACUAAUGCAGAUUUUUAUGAUUGCGGCAUGCAAGAUCUUUUUCAUUGCUCGUGAAAAUACAUAGCUAAUGGUGGUGACUGUGUUGAAAAAUAGUGUUUUUUAGUCAAGGAUUUGCUCAAAUAGUAUUAUUUACUCUUUCUAGCUGUUGUAGUUUUUCAUAGUUUCCAAGUAAAUAGGAGGUAUUACUUUUGGAGCGACCUACGUAUUUUUGUGCAUGACUUAUUUGAAGCUCUGGUACGUGAGUGAAGAAAGGAUAAAAGGGGAAGACAUUUCCUUCUCUUUUUCUUAUGUUCUGGUUUUUAAGGCCAUGUCUUUUUAUAUCUGCUGGUUUAUCUGUGUGGGUGGGCAGGUAUGAGUCUCAACCUGUCUUCCCCUUGUGCAAUGUAAUGUGGAAGUUUAGGUUGGUAUGCUGCUGGGGCCAGCCCACAUCCUUCACCCACACAGCCUCAUGAAGCAGUUACACACAUCAAUCAGGGAAAACCCUCAUCUCUGCACACCGUUGGAGCAGGUGCAUAAGCUCAGGGUGACAACAGAUGUCUGUCACAUUGCCACAGGCGGCCACUAGUGCCUGCCAACUUGUCUGCCUACAACAAAUCUAACUUAUGUCUGAGUGUUGUCCAAAUGCUUCUUGAAAUCUGGCAGGCUUGGUGCAGUAACCACUGCCCUGGGGAGCUUGUUCAAGUGCCCAACUACCCCCUGCUAAAGAAUCUUUUCCUAAACCCCAACCUGACUGUCCCCUGAUAUAGCUCCAUGAUGGUUCUGUCACUGUAAUCAUAGAGGAGAGAUCAGCACUGCCUCUCUGCUGUCCUCAUCGGGAAGCUGUAGGCUGCCAUGAAGCCUCCCUUCAAUCUCUUCUUCCUUGCACUGAAGAUACCAAGGGACCAUUGCUGCUCCUCUUGGGGCAUCUUGGCCUCUAGUCCCCUCACCGUCUUUGUAGCCCUUCAUUCCCUCUUGUACAAAAUAGCCCGAAGAUGGAGUUAUUGGCUUUUUCCAAGUCCUAUAUACUUUGAGUGUACUACAGAGUAUGAGGCAAAAUCUGUUCCUCUGUGCCCAGGUAACUGUAUAGGGGCAUCACUAAAUUAAUUUGCUCUUGGAAGUUAAGUAGUGUGUCUCUGGGUUGUAUCAGUACAUAUGAAAGAAGAAUUCAGUGUCAUCUUUUUCAAAUGGAAUGUUGUCUUUCUUUGGCUAAAUGAAUAGAGGAUAUCAGAACAAAUUAUGCUUGGGUCUUAGGCAGGUGGGCAGAGAAGGAAAUCCAAGAGUGCUCCCGUCUUGAGCAUGCUCUUCAACAGUUGGCAGAGUGGUAUCUCCACCAUUUUGGGGUUUUGGAAGUUAAAUAUCUUCAGAAAUGGAGUUCAGAGUACCAUCCAGUCUGCUUGUAGCUCUUGUGCUUUGGGGGCAGAAUGUAUCCAUAUCAUCCUCCCAGUUGCAAACCAAACAUUGGUUAUGAAAAAGGAACAAGUGCAUGAAGAAACCUACAGAACUGACUUACUCACUUAUUUUAUUUUUACACUUAACCUAUAGAAAGGAUUAUGGUGUUGUGUUGUUGUUGUUGUUUGUUUAAGAAAGAGUGGUAUUAAAGAAGCACAUAUUCAACAUUUAAAAAGUAGCAGCCUUCCUGAAUCAGUGUAUUCACAGACAAGAAAAUUACAGGGUAAGGGCCUAGUUGGGAGCAAAUUCCCUUUACACUGCUAAGUCAACAGUGUUCAUGCUGCUUCAUUUCACCUGCAGAUAAUGACAGGGACAGAUGCCUAGACUGAGGAAAGGAGUUGGCUUCAGUUCUACUGCACGUGAUUCUUAGGUGUGAUAGAGAAAUUCUGACUCCUAUAUUUCCAGCUUGGAAACACCAAAAUUUUUUCUUGUUAUUUAAUUUAUUGUAGUACAGAGAAGCUUAAAUAGUUAGUAACUGUAUGUAACAGAGAAGAGUAUCUAUUUUGUUUUAAAAUUAACUUAACAAAGUAUGGAUGCAAAAGUCUGUGUGUGAGGGAAGUGAAGAUGGGAAGAAUUGUGAUUUUUUUUUCUUCUAAUUACAGGUAAUGACUUAGCAAGUAUACGAAUAAUAUUGCCAUAAAUAUUAGAUCACAUAGAUAAUGACGCCAUCUUCAGCUACAUUACAUAACUUUUUGCUGGUGCACAUUCCACAAAAAGGGUAGUGAAUCUUCAUGCUUCAGGGUGUGAACUCACCACCAACUGAACAGUUAAGAAAUUCUUCCUGUAGAGAGAAAUGCCAUCUUGCCCUGCUCUACCUGUUUGUUUUUCUUCUAAGAAGCAUCUGCUCAUAUCUUCUCUUGAAAACAAACUCUUAGACCAACUGCUUUGACAUUAGUUUUUUUUUUUUUUACCUUUCCUAAAGAAGUUGGUCCCUACUCAUUUCUCACUCUGCUGAGUGAGAAAGAUGCUGAGGUGUUGGUGGUCCUGCUUUAAGGUAUUAAGGUGCUGCUUUUUAUGCAUUUGGUUAACGCUGUACUGAUAUUGAUCUGCAGACUGAAGCACAGGAGAGUAACCACGUGAUGGUCACACUUGGCUUUGCUCCAUUUUGCUAUUUUAUCAGACAAAUGAGCUUGCUUUCCUAAUCAGGUUUUCACACAAUAAGCCUUGAAGGGCCUGGUACAGAUGGUGGGAGAACUGAAAUGGGUCAGGGGAGGCGGGAAAGAAAAACAGAAAAAUAUUUGUCAGGCUUGAUAGUGCUAAUGAAAACAUAAAGAAAGAAAGAAGGAAAGCAGUGUUUAGAGAGCGAAGAGUGACCUGACAAAUGUGACCUCUGUUUUUCCCAAGGGCCCCUGACUUUGAAACCAAAGCUGGCUUUAAUGUUCACCAGGUGUCAUCAAGGUGUUUUGAUUCCCUUUAAGGACAGGAAUUAGCCUUAUAGUUUCUGUAUCUACACUUCAGCGAACUUUGGUGACAAGGGUAUAUUCUUGUUCAGAGCAUAACCCUUGAGGUUCAAAUGGCAUGAGCAGCUCAAAAAUUAGUUCUGUUACUUCCACAGGAGAUGAUGAAUGCAGACCUGUAAUUCACACAGGUUUUUCUGCAAGAGCCUUUCCAACCCUGUCCUUUCUUGAACGUGGUCUAACUGAGCAUUUCUGAACAGCCAGACAGUGCAGUGGGAAAGCUAGGAGAUGCAGCACAGAAGCAAUGCUGGCAGUAAGAUUAUUCCUCAAACUAAAAUAAUUCUUUAAAGUUCAGUAUUUUGUCAGCUGAGAUUAUAGUUCAAUUUCCUGGAAGAAGUGAGAUGCUACUUUGUUGAAGAUAUAUGGCUCUUUGUCUGCUGUUGUUAUACAGGCAAAUUGUUGUUACUUAUCAUCCUUUUCUGGCUGCUUCCUCUCUGUGGGUAAUUGUGCCUCUGAUAUUACCAAGAUAUCUCAGCCUUGCUUGUGGUUUGAGUGUUGUAUACAAAUUUUUAGCUCUUCAGGUGACUGUCUUGUCCUUCAGAAGGCAGCUUUGUAGGAAUAGAGCAUACUGUCAGGCAGAGGAAACAACCUCCUGAAUGGUGUGCCUUUGCACCACCUACCCCUCCCUCAUUACCUCUGAGAGCCAACCAUUUCUAAACUUUUCCUCUCCUCUUGUGAGGCAUGAAAAACGUAAGCAACUCAUCUAAUGCCCUGAUCCUGAUAUCCUACUGCAGGUAGGGGGUUAGGGUUGUAAUGUGCCCAUGACAGAAGGUUUUUCUGGGAAGCACCUAGGGCUAUCGAAGGGUCAGUUCAUGACCAAUUCAGUGGAUGGAUGCUUUAAGAAAAGAGUAAGAUACCAUCUUUAACACUUCUAGGUAUACUAUAGGACUGUGUAGGUCCAGAAUUGCAAAGGAUAACUGCUGCUUCUUUUCAUCAGUGUGAGAUCUCCUGCAGCCAAUAUCUGUUCCAUGAUCGCCUUCUGCAUCAAUAUCUGUUCAUUUAAAAAAUGUAUGACCAGAACAGAUUCAAUGAGAGUUUGGGGAUACUGUUGUGCACAUUGUCAAAGAUCUAAGAUUGCUAGACCAAAAAUGAAGUUGUUGUUUUUAUCAGUAAUUACAUUUCUUAUUGUGGCACAAAUCCCCACUCAUCUUAUGUUUGUGUAGGAGUAUUCAGUUUAUCCUUUAGUAGUGUUUUAUAUUUAAAUUGGAGAAUGACUGCAUAACCUUAUAGGGAAGAAUGGUAUUUACAUUCAGGGGAAACACUAUAUUAAUUAGCAAAUAAUCACAGAAUCACAGAAUUGCAGGGAUUGGAAGGGACCUCAAGACAUCAUUGAGUUCAAUCCCUCUGCUGAAGCAGGUUCCCUACAAUAAGUUGCACAGGUAGCCAUACAGACAAGUCUUUAAUGUCUCCAUAGAAGGAGACUCUGGAACUUGUCUGAGCAACCUCUUCCAGUGCUGUCACCCUUAUUGUAAAGUUCUUCCACAUGUUUGUAUGGAAUUUCCUUUGUUCAAAUUUUAGUACAUUGCUCCUAUCACAGUGCUAUCACUGUGCACCACUGAGAAGGGCCUGGCCUCAUCCACUAGCUUCCCAUCUCCUUUUAGAUAUUUAUAAACAUUAACCGGAUCCCCCCUUAAUCUUUUUUUCCCCAGACUAAACAGACUUAGGCUCCUCAGCCUCUCCUCAUAUGGGAGAUGCUCCAGGCCCCAAAUUAUCUUCGUGGUCCUCCAUUGGACUCUUUAUAGGAAAUCCCUGUCUUGUUUGAACUGAGGAGCCCAGAACUGGACACAAUAUUCCAAAUGUGGUCUCACCAGGACAGAGUAGAGGGGGAGGAUCACCUCCUUGACCUGUUGGCCACACUCUUUUUAAUGCACCUCGGGAUACCAUUGGCAUUCUUGGCCAAAAGAGCAUACUGCUGGCUCAUGGCCAACCUAUUGUCCACUAGAACACCCAGGUCCUUCUCUGUAGAGCUGACAUGAUAAAAUUGAAGCAUAUUGCUUUUUCAGUUCAACUUUGUAGAAUGUAUGAUUUAAGAGUGUCUGCAAAAGUAAGUCGUUGUUCCCGUGUCCUGAAAAUAACUUUUGCAGAUACAAUGAAGUACAAUUCAGUCCUAAUGGCUAAAAGUUUGGAAAAGAAAUGCUGUCCAAAGAUAGGCGCAGAGUAUAGUAAUAAUAAUAUAAUAUAUGACUUUAGAAUAGAGUAUCAUAUGCCUGUAAACUAAAGUCAAAGUGUUCACAUGUAGAUCUAUAUGGAAGCAUGAAUAUCUUGUUAAUAUGUAUUUACUAUUACAGGAAAAUUUCCACCCAGGUACAUACUCUUUUUACAUCACAAUGGGGUAAAUCGCUUGCAGUUGGUAAGUGGGAUUUAGCAGUGCUACAGGAGUGUGUACAGCUACUGUGGGUUUUGGGGCCAGUUAUAAUCACUAGGGAGAUCGAAGUCUAUUGAAAACCAGAAAAUCUCAACAAGUGUUUUAAAUGAAUUGUUGAAAUCCUUUAAGUGGAUUUCAUAAUAAAAGUAUCUGAAUGCAUUCACAUACAUAGGGAAACCUGAGUCCAUGUGGGCAUUGCUGGGCUGUGGUCUAAUUUUGUGUAAUACUAUCAUAUAGCUAAUCCUGUGCUACUGUGCAGUGCAAGAUGUCUUGGAUAUUGCCUUCUGAAUUGAUUCAGAACCCUUAUUAGAAUAAGGACACUUCUAUUGCAGAACAUGGGCUUGUUCAAGUGUACUGAAUGAUUUUAAGGAUGCUUCAAUGUUUGGAAUGAGGCAACAGUGCCUGAAGGAGAGUGUUUCAACAGCAAUUUGAAUGUGUAAGAACAACGAGUCCAUCUUGGAAAUUGUUGUGGACAUUAUUGCUUUAUUUCUAUUAUUCUUGAUGUAGUUAAAAGUAGUUCUUCAAUAUUUCUGAAGUCUUCCUUAGUCUGUGUUCAGCAGCAAAUUCUGGCAAGUUCACAAGCAGCUGCAAAAAUAACAAGAGCAGUAAUUCGAAAGGAAGCUGCUUCAAUAUUUGCAGCUGAAAAGUUCUCCUGCUGAAUUCCCAGAUGUAACCUUUAGCUUCACUGCCUCAUCGAUAUAAGUAUAUUGUAUAAGGAACAGCAUCUGGUAUGACCUUUACUACUUUUCUUUCUUUUUUUCACAAAUGAUUUUGUUGUUGCUAUAGAAGGAAAAAAAAAUAUAUUCUACACAUUUCUGAGAAAAGAAAAAUUGUUUCCACUAAGGUAAAUCUAGAAAAAAUUGAAAGUAAUUUUGUAGAAAACAAUUUGAGGUUUUUCUUAUGAAUGUAAGUAAUGCCAAAUAAUUCCAGUGUACACUCAGGAAAAACUCUUCUGGAAUUCAGCUGUGCCUCUAGCUUUUAGUUGUACUUACUAUUGGUGAUGAAUGCCUAUAUAUUUGUCUGAGAAAACAGACAACUCACACUGAGAUGCCCUGAAGUUAGCAUUCUGGAUGUUCUUUUCCUGAUCAGUUUUAUAUUUAUUUCACUACUCUUGCAAAUCACAGAGUAAUUGCAAAUCAGCCUACAAUGUUAUGGUACUAAAGUAUGCCAUUGAGCUCACGGUUUUAAAAUAUUACACCCACAGUUUUCUGUGUAAUUUUUUUCUGUGCCACACAGUGGAUAUUAAUUGCUUGUGAGUUUUCCCAUAGAUCAGUUUUGCACCGUCAGUUAUUUUGUGUCUUUGAGAUAUUUUGAAUAUCGCAUACAUAUAUUUGAGACAUAUAUUUGAAGAUGUCUAUGGUGGUUUUCUGUGCACGUAUGAAAAAAUACUUUUCAAACAACAUCUCUUUCUCUUGUUGUCCUGCUAUUUGCAAAUGAGAAACAAAAUGGGAGAGAGUUCUUAUCACUGUUGUUUCUUAGAUUUGAUGUGUUUACCUGUUCAUUCAUUCUAGCUGUUUUCUAAUGAUGAUGACCUGUUCCCCAACCAGUAACUUCAGUUGCAUUCUUCAAUCUGAAGAAGGCGGUACUGGGAUAAAGGUGAUUGAACUUUUGGAGCAGUUUUAAAUUUUAGUGGCUCCUUCCUUUGAACUUUCCUUAAAAAAUCUGAGGAUGUGAAGAUACAGGGAAGUAAAAAUACAUUUGAUGACUGAGGGAACAAGAGAAAGUUGUGGUGCUGUAGAGGUUAAAGCACAGGUGGGUGACAUAGCACAUGACAGAGCACUCUCAGGGAGAUGUCUAUGCUAUGGCUUGUUCUGUGUGCAGCAGCUUAAAACAAAUAGAUCUGAAAAUCCUUUGGAUCAUUCCUCAAAAAAAAAAAAGGUGCUUGAUGGUUAAGCCCAGAGUGAUUUUUUUUUAGCUAAAUUAUCAGCCUGUUAGUGCAUAAGGGAGUAAGGUGUUGAAUAGUGAAAUGCUGGAAUACCCUAGGCUAGAGCUUGCUGGCGGGCAUUGCUGCAAUAACACUAUAAUAGGCCAGGUGAAGAAGAGGUAGAAUAGAUGGGUACAUCUGCUGACAAUCUUUCUUUUUAAUUUGGAGCCACCUGAAGGCAGUAACUAGCAGAAUAAUAACCUGAUCCCCAUAUGGUUUCCGUUCUUUCAGAGUAAUAGUAUGCAGAAAAAAAAAAGAAAAAGCAGUCUACUUUUAGCUCUGGCUUCUGUUUGCCUCUUUGUGAGCCUGAGAACGUUUCCUGUCUGCUUGGUGAUGGGAAAUGUAACCAAAACAGACGUAGGUGAGUGACAUUUCUCAUGCCCAGCAUUCUGCUUUGGGUUUUCUGUAUCACCUCAGAGACGUUGCAACAUGUAGGAAGGGGGAAGGAGAUAGGAGAGAAAGAGCAGUGUAUCUUUAGCAUAAUUUACAGCUAACUUGCAGCUGUAAUGUUUUACCACGUUGACUUCUCAGCACAUAUUAUAUUUAAAAUGUAUUUUUCAUUUAGAAUUCUUUAGUCUGGUCCUGCAAAGAGCAGAUAAAUAUUGUCCUUAAAAAUGCACGUAGUUUUAUGAGUGGUGCAUUUUGAAGUAAGGAGAUUUGCUUUGGUCUCGGAUGUAUACAGAAACUCUGUCCUUACAGUUUUCUUAUUUCUGCUUCACUAUCUCCCCAUACUUUCCUUCCUGUCUGUGUUCUCUUAUUUCCUCUAAAUUACAGAUAGGAGGGAACAACAAUUUUCAUUGAAGCAGGCUUCACUUCUGGGGGAUAAUCUACCGCUGUUUUAAGUCAGGCCAAAAGUUCACAAGUGUGUUGUCAAACAUAAGAUUAUAUGACAUGUGGCUUUAGGAAAAAAAAAAAAAAAAAAAAAAAAAACCAAAAUCAGCAGUCCUUGGCACCUGGCAAACUUGAGAUGCACAGCAUCAAGAAAAAACUCUCAUUCUGCUUCUUUUUCUAAGUAGGUUUUGUGCCAGAUUAUGGCCUUUGCCCUGCCUCCCCUAGAAUAGGGUUUGCAGUGCAAAUGUACCCACCGUGCAAAGAGCAAGGUGCAUUAAGGAACAACAGACCAAGAGUUUGUACUUAAGCUGUAUUGAGUACUGGUAGUACACUAAAUUACUGUGAACAUGGGUUAGGAUGGCAGAAUGAAAGACAUUGUCAAUAUUGGCAUCUUUACUAGUAUCUGUUGCCCUACUGACUUACUUAAUUGCUUUAAUGAGAGAAUGUGAAGAUGAGAAACUCCUUCAGAAGAAUUCAGGAAGGAGAAAGUCAAGCCACCUCCUUUUACCUGUCCAAACAGAUAUCUGUGUACUUUCUGGAGAUGAGAAAUUAUGGUUAAGGAUUUGAAGGCACUUGGGUAGUAAGCACUUAGACCUGCACUUCUGUGAGAAGUUGUACUUACUGUUUUUCUAUUUGGAAAAAUGUGAACUCCUGGGACCCACUGUUCACUCCUUUAAUGUAACUGUAGGAAAUAAAGUCUAGGUUGUUCUUUUUCCAUUUUUUGGCAUUUCUCCUUUGACUCACUGUGUGUUCUGGUUCAGUGGAUGAGGGGGGCACAUGAUCAUACAAUAAAGCUUUGGCUUCUCCUGACCUGAAGCUCUUCAGGGGAAAAGGUGCUCUGUGGGUGUAUGGGUUUUUUCCAACACCAGUCCCAGUAUGAACGCAGCCUUCAAUGCUGUUUAGAAGCUUAAAAAUUAGCCUUUCUGUCUCCCAGUGGGAUUUCAGGCCGUGCAGAAGUCCAUCGCCCAUCUCUGCACAGACGCAGAUCAAAAGUUUCUAUAUGUUACAAGUACUAAGGUGUUUAAUUUGCAUGUAUGAGUAUAAGCUUAUCUACCCAUUAUUAUUUUUUAAAUGAGAAGAAUGUAGGCUUGGCACUGUGCGUUUGUCAUCUUCAUGUUCCUUUUCAUAUUGCUUCCUGGAUCGGUUCUGCUGUUACUACUUCAUCUUUUCAGAAUUUUGAGUAAGGAACAUGCUGAAUAUGGGAAAUACUUGCUUUUUAUAUAUUGGAUGUUUGUCACAGAAUAGUUAAGAUGAAACUAAGACAGUUUGCUUCAGCUGGUAGGAGGAGUUGGGAAGCUCUGUUCAGAAUUGGUGAUAUUAUGUAGUUACUCCAUGAAAGAGAGAUAUGGUACCUAUGUUAAGCCAGAGGUUUUUGGUAGCAGACAGAUGGGUUGGGUCUGUAAUUAAAAAAAAAAAAAAAAAAAAAAAAUGUGUUCGGGAUUUUUCUUUGGCAAUGAGGCCACAGAGCACCAAAAGAAGGUGGCGACAUCCAAAUUACAUUAUGGGAUUUACCUCUGGGCUGAUUCUUUUUCCUGUGGUGUAGGGGAGAGUGCCAACAGGUCUGUGGAAACCAAGGACUAGUCUAAUAAGUGUAGAGACACUUGAAGUCUACUGUCUAGAAUGUGGGUUUUUUUGUUUGUUUGUUUGUUUUUUAAAUUAAUUUACUGAUUUAGAGGAGUCCAAAGUUCAAAGAGGAGGUUCUUGUCAUUUAUCUCUGGUUAUUCUAUUUACUGAAGAUCAGCCCUCCAACUAGUGCAUUUCGGGCAUUUGGGAUUUUUUUUUUUGUCUUAAAACUGCUGAAAACUUUAUUAUGCUUUUGCAUUAACACAACACUCAUGUUACUUUUGCAUCUCUCUCAAACAAUGGAGAAAACAGCCUUAAGCAAAUGUAACCGUGGCCUCUGUAUAUGAGGAUCUGUGAUGAUGGGAGUGAACAAGCUUGCCUUUUCCCCAAGGUAUUUUUGCCCUUCGUUUAAGAUUUUGAGGAAUGACAGUGAUUUUUUUUUUUUUUUUCACUAUAAGAUACAGCGCACUUCUGCAGUGUGCUGUAAGUGCAUGCAUGGCUGUGCCUGUCUAUGUGCCUAUCAUGCAUGUCUAUGUAUUUCUAUAUGUAGACACAUAAACACACAUUGCCCAUUUCUAGGGAAGAUCUGCAGUGCUGUGUGGGUUUUGGGUGGCUGUUAUUGACUAAUACUGACAGGUCAUGUGGAUACUGGGGCUUAGACCCAGCAGGAGGCAGUGCAUGUGCAUCUCCAGCAUUAACGCAAUCGACAUCCUCUCUGCAGAAGGGUGGCCAGGCCUUUCCUUAGGAAACAUAUGCCAAAACUAUUACUGGAGACAACGUCAUAGCCUGCAGCAAACUGGACAGGAUGUUAAUGAGGAGGGAAUUGUGGAGGAAAGAAUCUGAGUGCAUGCCGUAUUAUCAAAACAAAAUGCUGAAUAAACAGAUUAUUUCCAUAAUCAGCAAUCCUGGUAUUUUGAUAUUUAUCAGGUUUAUGCUGUUAUAUUUUUCAUUACUUAGUUGAUAGCGGCUUAGGGGCUUUUAAGUACAAAAAUAAAUAAAUAAAUAAGUGAAAACAUCUGGGAGGCUAUAAAAGACACUGCAGACCCAAGACAGCUCAUUAUUUCUCCUUGACGAAGAAAUCUCUCUUGCAUUCUGUGAUGUCUGUGGCAGUGUGUAAUGAGGCACUUCACCAUGUCAAGCCCAGAGUCAUAAUUCUGUCUUAUCUGCUGCAAUAAUGAGACUUUCUGAACGACUGAACUCAGCAGAAGUUAUAGGUGUAAAGAAAAUGGCUUGUGUUUUGCAACUAUUUACAACAGGUGAAGACCAGAGAAUUCAGUUAUUUUUUUCCCUUGAGGACUAGACUGUAUCAGGACUUGAACUUAGAAAUUAAGAUCUAUUUAUGGUUUCAACAAUGUUUAGUACUAAUUUAAUUUCAUAUUUGGCAGAUUUCUUCUGAAGUUCUCGAUUGGAGGUUGCUUAUUUUGCUUCUACUUGUGCAUUUUUCUCCCUUCUUCUUCCAGCCCUUUCCUGAAAGUUUUCCUAACUGUGAGAUUUAAAAACGAGGGCCAAACUUCUGGAUUUGGAGAUGUAUUCAGAAAUUGGCUGCAUUUAUCUACAGUGGUGACUACUAAGCCUACAUAGUCUUAGUAGGCUAUUGAUCCAACCAAAGAGCAUUGCAUGGGAUAUUUUCAAAGGAGUAUCAAUAUGAAAACAUCAAUUAUUGGUGUUCUUUCUGCAGAAGAGCACAGAAAAUUUAUGUGUAUGAGAUAACUGAAACAAAUACCUUUGGGGAUAAUAGCUGUCCAUUUUAAGUAAUUUUUUUUUUUGUUGCUUUGGAAAGCAAAAUACCAAAACAGUAUAAUACCAAAACAGUAUAAUAUGUAUCUUUUUCUAAGAUGCAAACUGUUAAAAGAUUGCUUGUUUAUGCAUUGGUCAGAAGUUCAUCAUUAAUAUGAUUCCCUUGAAAUGUUUGAUUGAUUAUCUGUUUAUUUAUAAACAUAAGUCCAAAGCCAAUGAAAGUUUGUCUUAUUGUUAAUUCUCAGAUGCCUUUUCUUUGUGAGACAAUUAAAGUAUUUUUCCCUACAUCUUUGCUAACAUGAGGUAACUAAAAUGAAAUAAACUGUAGUUGUAAUCUGAGUUAUCAGGAUGACGUGGCCCUUGGCCUCUUGGCAGAGUGUUCACAAACUCCCUUGUCUUUGUUACGGUUUUACUAAAUGUCAGCUCCUGUGUGCUAAGAAUAGAUCUUGCUGCCUGCCACCCUGAUGAGACGGACCUUAGCCCUGACCUGCAGCUUGCCUUUCUAGGGGUGCACAGAGAACUAUUGGGAAAGGGCCACCCAAGACUUAUUUUUUUUCCCUUAAUCUUUCCUUUGCAGGACAAAUUCCUCCAAGUAACAGACACUUAAGAAAGAGAGAAGUUGGAUGUGCUAUGUUUGUUUGUGUACCAUAUCAUCCUUCCAGAUGACCUAGUUUAGGAUUCUGAUGAGAUCUGAAGAGCAGAGUAUUGAAAAUGUUUGUGAGAGCCUGUGUGCCAGAAUAAUAUGGGGUAAAAUCAUCUUAAUGAGAUGCUAGAUCAUUUGCGGAGUACUUCUCUCAGUAAAUACAGUUAAUUUAUUUUUCUGAAGAGGAACACAAUAGGCUUCUCACAGGAAUGCACUUCUGUAAAGCUGGAAGAAAAUAAGUAGUUGUUUUGACUCUUUUUAAAGCUUGUGCAGGAGCAUUUUUUGGUUGUACUUCUAUGGUUGUAGCCAUCAUUUUUAUGCAGUUGUUAUUACCAGCCUUCUCUAGAUUCACACAUGGAACAUAAUACAAAAAAAUACUUCUGAAGUUCUCUGGAGAUAAAAUGACUGUUCUUCAUUCUUGGUUUUUGGAUAUUCUUUUUUAAUCAUCAUGGAGAUGUUUUAUUGCUGUAAACUGAGAUCCAGAACCUAAAAGAUCCAAAAUAGUACUGUAGCUUCCAGCUAAAAAUCAAGGCCUGUCAGGUGGUAUCACAUCCACUCUCAUUUCUGCUUUAUUUGACCCAAGAGGAAAUUCGUUGUAAUGCUUGCUAACCUUUACUGAGCAAGAGUAGUGGCUUAAUAAACAUGAUUUUUUUCCCUGGGGAUCUUUGCUGCCUGGUCUAUGUCUGGGCAAGGUUUCCCCCUUGACAUUUUUCUACUCAUGUCCUGAGUCUUCCAAGGAACCCAGCAGUAGCUCUUAGGGAGACAAAUUGCAUUAGAGUUCCCCUGGAAGAAGCACAGCCUGAGAAAAACAAUUACAGUACAUUAAAAAAGAAAAGUCGAUUUUUUUCUGUUCUGAAUUUGCAAGGGGAAUCUCAGAAACCUGAUGAGUUCUCAUGAUCUCAUUUUUUAAAGUGAAAAGGUAAGAUUAUAGACAAUGGGUAGGAAACAUAACACAUUUUGCUUUUCCAUAGUGCAUCCUGCUAGUAAACUUCCACUGACUACAGGUCACGUUAUAAAAUGAGUGCAUAAAAGAUGAAUGAGUAAAGGUUAUUUACCGAAGGGAAGUUGACUUACUAUAUGUUUUUUAAAUCUUAAUUCUGGAUGAUGGCGUCCUCUAGUUAACUGCUUAACUUCAGUGAGUUAAAUCCUUGAAUAGCAGUAACAGCGUAUUAUAAUUUAUUAAAAAAAAAAAAAGUUUUUCUCUUUGCAUCUCUCACCUUUCUGUCCUUGCUUAGAGUGAAAUUCAGACUGAAUACAUGCUAGACUGUGUUGAUUUUUUUUCCUCUUGAUCUAGAUCCAUCAACCAGGAUAAAUUCCAUAUUGAAAUAAUAAAUAUGCCUUCCUAUCCAGGGAAUGGCAUUACAUUCCUUUUCACAUCCAUACAUGAUGAAUUAUUUGUGCUUGUUUGCUGUGUCAGAAUUGAAGAACAUUAGCAUCUCUUUGCAACUUAUGUGCCAAAAACCUCUUUUCUUGAUAAAACUCUUCCACUCUCUAAGUCACUGCAAACAUCUCACUCUAAGGAUAUGUAGUAAAAAUGCAAGUGAUGCUUACUUAAUAGAUCUGGAGGCUCUAAGAUAUACAGCUGCAUCAAUAAAAGGGGUGAAAAUUCAAAUUUGAAGGUGUAUUAGCCUGGCUACUGGUAUACACUUCUUUUUUAAUGCUGGUUUUUGAGAUGAAUAUAUGUGCACAUGUGUGCGUGUGUAACAGAACAUUAUUGAGUAUUUGUUUUGGCUGAUUAAGUAAAUGCAUGCUAAUUCUCCACAGAAAACAAUGGUAAUGAACAUAAAGACAAUAUCUGUCUAAUCGUUCUAACUUAGUUUCGUAUUAAAAAGAAGUUCAACUCUCCUCUGAAUUCUUAUGUGUACAGCACAUUUUGUUUCUCCUUAUUGCUUUGCUGUAAUGAAUGUAGUACCCGUUCUUGUGCCAUUAUUGGACAAGAGAUUUAUAGGAUCACAGGUCAUUGUUAGCCAAAUAAGUUCAUUGUUGUGAUUUUAAUACAGGAAAGUGAAAUAUAGUUAAUAUGUGACAGUUUAGUAUUUUUAAAUCAUUCCCUUGGCUUGCCAAGAGCAUAGUUCACUCUUCUGGGCCAAAAAAGUUACUUCAGUCUGAGUAUAUCCUACUUAAGUUUUCAAAAAUGAUUUAAAAGAGUUAGCGAACUGUGAAACUGAGUUUUGUUUGUUUUCAUGACUUAUCAUGCUAGCACUUCAAAUUCAAAUGUGGUAGCAAUGGUAAUAGGAGGACAGUUGGACUAGAUGAUUUUGCAGGUUCUUUCCAACCUUGUGAUUCCAGGAUUCCAUGAUAUAGAACUGAAGAGGUAUUCUUUCUUGAUAGCAUUACUCUAGAGAUUAUGGUAGCAUUAUUUUUAUGGCAUUCUUGUUAACACGGCAUGUAGUGAUGUCUAAUUGCUUUAAGUAAAUAAAUUUGAGGAUUCUGCCUGAUCAUCAACAUAAGUCAGACUUAAUUUAACUUUCUCCUCCAUAACUUUUUCUAGUUUAUGGCUUGGAGGUGGGAAACAUAGAAAACUUCAGUUCUGACUAGUUUCAGAUUCUGGUUUGCAUCCCCUUAUUUGUAUCUUUCUAUAUAGAUUAGAAUUCAUUUCUUAUCAUGCUAUAAUUUGAUCAGUUUAAGAUGCAUUAAGGUGCUUAGAUGCUGCUUUAACCAUGAAAUACAUUUUAGCAUUAUAUGUUAGCUAAAAUAAGUUAAAAGCACACUUCUAAAUCUUAGUCUAGACAAAGACAUUACACGUUUACUCAUGUACAAUUAACUGAAGACCUUUAACUUCUGUUCCUGAAUGCUCAACCUGUCACUGGUGCAACAUUUUGUCCUCUUUUAGAUUAAUUGUCUAAUGAAUAAUUUUGUUCUCCAUAUGUCAACCAGAAGAACAGUGACUGCUGUUAGAACUGUGUUAGUUCUGCAGUGUUGCUAAGUGGAAAGUAAUAAAAUAGAGUUAGUGAAUUAUUGCUGUAAAUGUCUGAGAUUUAAAUAAUAAUAAUAAUAAAAAAAAUUUGCCUGCUGACAAAAAAUACCAUUGGAAAAAUUUCCUGGAAAAUUCUUUAGAUCUUAUGGUAUCUUGGUAACAGUGGUAUUUACAAUGCAUAGCCUGUUUUCAUUAAUUAUACAUACGUUGUGCAUGCAUUAUAUUUAUUGUUGAACAGCAUACUACCGUAUGUACUACACUGAUUUUUUUUUAUUCUUAAAAAAAUUGACACAAUAAUAAUACAUUAUUCCAUAUUUUGUGGCCAAUUUACAUUUGUACAAAAGUACUAUUACUUCAACUUGAAAUUCUCUUCUUACAGGGUAUAUUUCUGUCUCCAUUCCUGUUUCUUCAAAUGAUUUUUAAAAGCCCCUAUAAUUACAUGGGGAUACAAAACAGACAUUAGAAGGGAAAAUGAAGGAGGAGGUAUGACACUGGUUCACACUAAGGGCUAAUUAUGCAUCUGAGAGUUGGAUUUUGGCAGUAAAAUACCUUAAGCUCUGAGGGGAGUUUUGCAACUGUUGUUGAUUUAUAAUAUUUGAAACACUGAAAAGAAGGAAUCCUGCCUAGCUAGUACAUGCAGUGUGGAUAGCCCAUUACUAAUCAGAAUACAACAGGUCUGAAAACUGCUCUUUUUCCAUCAGUACCAGUGAAAAUGCACUGUUAUUGAAUAGUAAUAAUAAUUAACUAACUAAGAGCAAGAACAAAAAAAAAUCUUUGCUUUCUCCCCAAAAUAAUAUGACGUGAAUACACUUGCUGCUCAGAAAGCAUUCAUUAUUGGCAUGACUCCUAUUAACAAUGAAAAUUGUUAAAAAAAAUUGUCUCACUCUGGUCCUAGACCACAUUUUUAAUAGCCUUUCCAGUUUCCUGAAUUAAGAAGGGACUCAGAGGCAAUGUGUAAUGAUAGAAAAGCUGUGAUUUCUAAGGCUGAAAAAGAACUUUGAACACAAAUAACCUGUUAAACCGGGUAGUUAUGAGAUUUUGGCCAGUUAAAUUGCUUUUGACUUUUCCAUCGUGUUAAUCAGUUAAUAUUAGGAGAGAAAGGAAAUAGAUACAGAUAUAAAAGUCAACAAAUGAGUACAAGACUGUAGUUUGCUAUGACUGGAAGCAUUAGGAGUUUCCUAUUGCACAAUGUACUUACAAUCUUAUAGGAGCAAAAACAAAGGAUAUAUGUCAUUGAUCACAUGAUCAUCCAUAAAUAAUUAAAAAAUAAAAAAAAGUAGUGCAGUAAACUUAUACAAUAUUCUAAGCCUUCAUGUAAGUUUUGCAUCAAAUAUUACAUUCCUUCUCAUUCUUUUCCCUGUGACCAGGCUGGGUUUAUUUCUUUACUUUUACUAGUGCAUUGACAGGGUUAUGGAAUAGAUUUCUACUCAAUUUUUAGAUGCGCUUUGAAAUAGUGGUGUGAUUAAAACAAAUGCUCAAGUAAAAAACUGAGGAAUCUUUGUGCUUAAGAAAAGUUAAAUAGAAUUUCUUCCCAUGCCUCUGUCAUACAACUGAACGCACUGAAAUUAUUUUCUUUCAUUAUUGAGACUCAUCCUGAAAUGUUUGAGCAGUGAAACCCCUGGAAGUCUGGGGAUGCUGGAAUAAGACUGGUCCAAUGUGUCCUACUGUGAGAAGGACAUGAAUCAGUGUGUUGACAAAGGUAGUUGGAGGCUGAUGGAGAGGUUUGGAGGAACUUUUGUUGUCUUCAGUUUUCUUACUCUCAAGCCCCUGACGUAUGCUACAUCCUAUAUCUGGAGCAGUUGAAAGCAGGACUCUGUGUUUGACCAAAUAGCAUAAAUACACAAGUAAAGUAGUAGCUUUCAUUUAGUUUGAAAUAGAAGUAGAGCAGAUAAUGCAUUUUUUACCAAAUUUCAGUGCCAAUGUGUGCUUUAUUGGUUGGAAAAAGCAUCUUUUACUAGCUGAUUUUGUAAUGAAUGAAGCUGUGAGUGUUUUAUGCUAGAUAUCAUGGCUCUUUAAGUCCAUUCCACCUUUGCUAUGCAGGAAAAUGAGCCUGAAAAUCUUGGUUCACUUGGCCUUCUAGCAUGAAAGCAGAUAUUCCACUUCUGUUGUCAGCACCAUUUUUUUGCUUGUUUCCAUUGUCAGUAUUAAUUGAAAAAGGUAAGCUUGGUUUUUGUGGAAUUCAAGUGCUGGCUUGAAUUCUUCUUGAAUAAGGAUGGAUUUUAACACAUGCUUACUAUUAAUCAUCAUCAACAGAAAACCUCACUAUGAUGAAAAACAAAGAUGAUCUAACUUCUUUAUAUAUCCACAUGAGCCAUACUAAUAGAAUUCAGUGUUUAGUACUUCAGGAAAAGAUUUUGUGCCCUAAAGCUUCUUUGUUCAGGUGUUUUUGUUGUUGUUUUUUUACAGCAUUAUGACUUUGUAGCUGGUGAAAGGUCUCACCAUUUGAUUAGAGACUCUGUUAAUCCCAGUCACAACAGCUCAAUAUCUGUAAUCUUCUCAAAUUCUCUUGCUGCUAACAGCUGAGACUUUUUAAUGAUGCUGUGUAUUAUUAUUUGUUUCAAACUUUUUCUUAUAUAUAGAAAAUAGUUCUCGUUUAUUAUAUGGUUUUUUUUUUUUUUUUUUUUUAUUGCCUUCUUGCCUUGUAUUGCAUAUUAGUGUCCUUAGAAGUCAAGACCCUGUGACCUGGAAAGAAGACCUCAGGACUGGAGGUCCCGUGACCAUUUCUGUGUCAUAUCUGAGUUACAGACCGUCUCCAGCUCUACAGUCAGCUCUAUUCACAUACAAAACACUGGAGCUUCUUGUUUUCUAAUGAGCUGACCCUGCAAAUAUUGAUGGGAAUCAUAUUCUAUCUAUAAUUUGGUUGUUAUCUGUCUGAAUAGUUCCUAAUAUUAAAUGUAGAUGGGAUAAAAAAAAAACUCAACCAAACAAGAAAACCCACCUCAGCCCAACAACUUAAUAAUGAUCUGCUUGAAGUUAUUUGAUAGAGCAAAUUCACACUUAUAAAUGCUAGUUUUCAGUGCAGUCAUCUGUAUUAGCCAUGCACUUUCAUCACCUGCAAACAAGAACCCGUGUGCUGUGCUCAUAAAAAUCUGUAUGGCUGUCUGCACUGUGGCUUGUCUUUCACAUAGCUGUUGCCACUGCUGAAAGGCACUACCUACCGCCUCACUGUGCCGUCAUGCAUUCUUUUAUCUGUAUAGAAGUUCAGCAAGCAUCACAGAAUGUCGAUGGGCACAAUUCUUUCUGCACAGAGGAAUUCAAUGACACACCUUUGCUUCAUGCAUACUUCCAUGUUAGAAGCCAUUUUGUCAGACUGCCCCGCUGCUGCCACCUGUUUCACAGCAACAAGAUGUAAUGGAAUAUUGGCAGGAAUGUUCAACCCCUACUGCCUUACCACCACCAUCUGCCUCUGAUGUUGUGGACUACCAUAAUAAAAUAGGAGGCACUGAUUUCAAAGUAGCCCUUGUACCACCUGUCCGCCACAUAAGUUGU
rnacentral:lncRNA from 1 species